GUCCAUUCCUGCCAUUAUUAUGAGCCGUCCUCCCCGCGGCAGCCUCCACUGUAACAUACCUAUACGCAGCCUACAUCAACAUAAUGAUGAACAUGUGUGAAUGUUUUUACAGAAUUUUGUGACACAAGCUCACAUGAUUAAUCAAUUCCUGUCAUUAUUAGUUUAUCAUUUUGAUAUGUGGAACAUGAAUAUAUGCCUGAGCCUAAAGGAUAUUCCCUGGACUCUUUAUUCCAUCAACAUUAGUGCCUGGAACUCACUUCCACAUGGAGCCUCUCCUCCUGUGUAGCUAACAAUGUCACCUCCAUGGGUGUCUCAGUGAGUCGGUAAACAACCAAAUCUAAAUGCUAUCUUAGCCUUUGAUGAGUCACAGAGCCCUUGCAGUGUGUCAUUUGGGGUGGGGGGCAUGCCCUACGAAAAAUCUCAAAUGGUAUUUUAUCCCCCGCGUAGUUCAUUACCUUUGACCAGGUAUGGGGGCAAGGGGGCUUAUGAGAGGUUGUUGGGCCAAGCCAGGCCAGGGCUGGGCUCUUGUGGGGGCUAAUGCCCAUCAGUGGUGGAGGGGGACCAGGUCUUUGUCCCAGUGGAGGGGAUUACACCGGCGGGGUGGCCCUAACAAUGUCUCCCCUCCUGGGAGGGCUGGGCAAACCUGCUCCCCCCCAAUGACGGGUGUGGUCAACUGCUCACUGACUCAAUUAAACACAGUGAGAGAGAGGAGGAGAAGGAGGGGAUAGGAGGAGGAGAGGAAUGGAGGGGAGAGAGAGAAGAAUGUGCAGCAUGGAGUGAUAUUCAACAAGGGUAAGAGAGAAACAGAGAAGGAGAGAAAGCGGGAGAGGGGAGGAGAGGAUGGAGGAGGAGAGGAUGGAGGUUGGAGGAGGAGAGGAUGGAGGUAGGAGGAGGAGAGGAUGGAGGUAGGAGGAGGAGAGGAUGGAGGUUGGAGGAGGAGAGGAUGGAGGUUGGAGGAGGAGAGGAUGGAGGUAGGAGGAGGAGAGGAUGGAGGUAGGAGGAGGAGAGGAUGGAGGUAGGAGGAAGAAAGGAUGGUUGGAGGAGGAGAGGAUGGAGGUUGGAGGAAGAGAGGGUGGAGGUAAGAGGAGGAGAGGAUGGAGGUUGAUGGAGGAGAGGAUGGAGGUAGGAGGAGGAGAGGAUGGUUGGAGGAGGAGAGGGUGGAAGUAGGAGGAUGGAGGUUGAUGGAGGAGAGGGUGGAGGUAGGAGGAAGAGAGGAUGGAGGUAGGAGAAUGGAGGUUGAUGGAGGUGAGGGUGGAGGUUGGAGGAGGAGAGGGUGGAGGUAAGAGGAGGAGAGGAUGGAGGUAGGAGGAGGAGAGGAUGGUUGGAGGAGGAGAGGGUGGAAGUAAGAGGAUGGAGGUUAAUGGAGGAGAGGAUGGAGGUAUGAGGAAGAGAGGAUGGAGGUAGGAGAAUGGAGGUUGAUGGAGGUGAGGGUGGAGAUUGGAGGAGGAGAGGGUGGAGGUAAGAGGAGGAGAGGAUGGAGGUUGGAGGAGGAGAGGGUGGAGGUUGGAGGAGGAGAGGAUGGAGGUUGGAGGAGCAGAGGAUGGAGGUUGGAGGUUGGAGGAGGAGAGGGUAGAGGUAGGAGGAGGAGAGGAUGGGAUAGGAGGAGGAAAGGGUGGAGGAUCGAGGUAGGAGGAGGAGAGGAUGGAGGUUGGAGGAGGAGAGGAUGGAGGUUGGAGUGGUGAACUCAAGGAGUUUUAGUAGGAGAUCAGGGAGGAGAGGAUGAAAGGAUCAGGUGUGGUAGGAGGGAAAGGAGACCAGUGGCUCAAAGAACAAGAAGAUAAAUAAAGGAGUGAAUGAGAAGAGAGGAAUGGUGAGCUAGGUGAGGAUGACUCUGCAGGUACUGGAUGUAAAAUGUGUGAGUCGGAGGCCUUUCCUUAUGCAUUUCAAUAUCAAAGUCCUCAUUAUGCCCACGCACACCGCCCAUUCAAAUCCAAUGACAAAUGCACCAGAUAAUUCCAUUAGGGGGACUUCUAUAGAGGAUAUUUAGGGGACAGUUGAGGAAUCCAGGUAACAUAGCUCAACGCGGGCACAGACAGAUAUGGCUCCGUAACACUUAUCAGGGAUUUGGCAGCCCUGUUGAUUGAACAUGCCAAGUCCCAUUUGUGGGAGGGGUGUGCGCGUUUGUAUCGACACGCUGUAACCUUGUGGCUCCACAGAAGGAGACGUCAGAUGUGCUGCUAGCGGGCACACAGGCAGACAGGCAGGCAAGCAGGAGAGGGUGGGUGGGUUGGUAGGCUCCCCUUCUCUUACCUUCUCUCUACUUCUCUCUCUCCUACUCUCUUCUCCUCUUUCGGCCGCAGUGGACGGGAGCCCCCCUCCUCCCUCCAUCCCCAGUGGUAGGGCUGCCAGACAGGAGUGUUCAGCAGCUCUCCGACUGUUAUUGAUCCUGAGAGCGAGGGAGCGAGUGGAAUGGGGAGCCGGCUCCUCUCUCUCUCCACAACUUUUUCCUGCUCUCCCCCCACUUCAUUUAUCAAGGUUAAGGAACUCUUAUAAAAAAGGGAAGAAGGGGUCACAGGGAUGUUAUCUGACUUCAUGAAGGAAAUCCUCACUGGGCACUCCAGAAAAGAGGAGAUUGCUCUUAUUGGUAGAAGGUAGACCCCCUCCACACAAGCACCAUACAACCACAGCCAGCCAGCCAGCCAUCCAGACAGUUAGCCAGCCAACCAGCCAGUCAGUCAACCAGCCAGUCAGCCAGCCAUCCAGCCAGUCAGCCAGCCAUCCAGCCAGUCAGCCAGCCAUCCAGACAAUUAGCCAGCCAACCAGCCAGUCAGUCAACCAGCCAGUCAGCCAGCCAUCCAUCCAGCCAGUCAGUCAGCCAGCCAUCCAUCCAGCCAGUCAGCCAGCCAACCAGCCAGUCAGCCAACCAGAAUUAGCAGGUCCAGAAUAUGCCACAAGGAUACUCAAAAGUGAUGGAGUGAUGGGAGGAGGAGAAGUGUACCUUUUCCUGCUAGAACUAAUGCCCAAGAUACCAGAUGCAUGAACUACCACAGCAAACCUUAUUAACAGAAACGUGCUUUUAGGCUACAGUUCGACAUGCUUUUCAACCAAUAAGAGACUAGAAUGCGGUGUCCCUUCUCUGAAAGGACUGGAAAUGGUUCUACAGUGGAGUACAUCUCUGGCUCUUUGUUGCUGCUUCUCUCUGCACAUAAAAGGCUUGGGGAGUCCAGGCAACAGGAAACUGCACUCCUGGCUGAGGCCUGUCGACUCGCGCCAAAUGAACAGGCCAUAAGUUCCAGCCUCUUUGUGCUGGGUAAUUGCCACAAUGCUUUUUAUCGUCUAGCUAAUUAAGUCAGUCUCGCCUUUGUCUUGUUCUCCAGCAUCAUUUGAGUGAGAGGAGAGAGGGCUGGGAGAUGGCUGGGAGAGGGCUGGGAGAGGGCUGGGAGAGGGCUGGGAGAGGGCUGGG
ensembl:lncRNA